ensembl:lncRNA
AUGUCCCCUUUGUGUCACCUGUUGUCACCCAGUGUCACCCAAUGUCCCUUUGGUGUCACCCAAUGUCCCUUUGGUGUCACCCGGUGUCACCCAGUGUCACCCAUUGUCACCCAAUGUCCCCUUGGUGUCACCCGUUGUCACCCAGUGUCACCCAAUGUCCCCUUGGUGUCACCCAAUGUCCCCUUGGUGUUACCCGGUGUCACCCAGUGUCACCCAAUGUCCCUUUGGUGUCACCCGAUGUCACCCAUUGUCACCCUAUGUCCCCUCGGUGUCCCCUCAGAGUCACCCAGUGUCACCCAAUGUCCCUUUGGUGUCACCCAUUGUCACACAGUGUCACCCAAUGUUCUUUUGGUGUCACUGGAUGUCACCCAAUGCCCCUUUGGUGUCACCCAGUGUCACCCAAUGUCGCAUUGGUGUCACCCAAUGUCCCUUUGGAGUCAUCUAAUGUCACCCAAUGUCCCUUUGGUGUCACCCAUUGUCACCCAGUAUCACCCAGUGUCACCCAGUAUCCCCCAAUGUCCCUUGGUGUCAGUUGAUGUCACCCAGUAUCCCUUUGGUGUCACCCGUUGUCCCCCAUUGUCCCCCAGGGUCCCUUUGGUGUCACCUGUUGUCACCCAUUGUCACCCAGUGUCCCUUUGUUGUCACCUGAUGUCACCCAAUGUCACCCAAAGUCCCUCUUUGUGUCGCCUACUGUCCUUUUGGUGUCACCCACUGUUCCCUUGCUGUCACCCACCCCCUCCCCGUGUCCCUUUGUGCCAUGUGAAUGUCACCCUUGGGUGUCUGUUACCCUGGGGCAUCACCUUUGGUCUCGUGUCACCCUUGGGUGCCCCUUUGGGUGUCCGUCAUCUUUGGGUGUCACCUUUGGGGGUCUGUCACCCUUGGGUGUCAACCUUGGCUGUCACCUUUGGUCUCGUGUCACCCUUGGGUGCCCCUUUGGGUGUCUGUCACCUUUGGGUGUCCCCUUUCUGCAUUCCUUUUGGGUGUCCCCAUUGGGUGUCACCCAUGGGUGCCAUGCCGGAUGUCCCCUGUGUCACCCAUAGGUGCCCUGCUGGGUGUCCCCAUUGGGUGUCACCUAUGGGUGUCGUGUUGGGUGUCCUUUGUGUCACCCUUGGGUGUCCCCAUUGUCACACAUGGGUGCCCUGUUGGGUGUCCCCAUUGGGUGUCACCUUUGGGUGCUCUGCUGGUUAUCCCAUUGGGUGUCCCCUGUGUGCCAUGUUGGGUGUCACCCAUGGGUGCCCCAUUGGGUGUCUCCAUUGUCACCUUUGGGUGUCCUUUGUGUCACCCUUGGGUGUCCGCUGUGUCACCCAUGGCUACCUUGCUGUUGUCCCCAUUGGGUGUCACCCAUGGGUGCCGUGUUGGGUGUCCCCUGUGUCACCUUUGGGUGCCCCAUUGAGUGUCCCCUGUGUCACCCUUGGGUGUCCCCACUGUCACACAUGGGUGCCCUGUUGGGUGUCCUUUGUGUCACCCACUGUCCCCCCAUUGUCACCCAUUGUCCCUCAGUGUCACCCAUUGUCACCUAGUGUCCCUUCAUUGUCACCCGGUGUCCCUCAGUGUCCCCCCAUUGUCACCCAACUGUCACUCACUGUCCCUUCAGUGUCACCCAUUGUCCCCUUAGUGUCACCCCUUGUCACCCAGUGUCCCUUCAUUGUCACCCAGUAUCCCCCACUGUCCCCCCAUUGUCACCCCACUGUCACCCAAUGUCACCCAUCAUCCCUUCAGUGUCACCCAAUGUCACCUAUUGUCCCUCAUUGUCACCUGUUGUCCUUUCAGUGUCACCCGUUGCCACCCGGUGUCACCUAUUGUGCUUCAGUGUCACCCAUUGUCCCCUUAGUGUCACCCCUUGUCACCCCUUGUCACCCAGUGUCCCUUCAGUGUCACCCACUGUCCCCCCACUGUCACCCCACUGUCACUCAAUGUCACCCACCGUCCCUUCAGUGUCACCCAGUGUCACCUAUUGUCCCUCAGUGUCACCCAUUGUCCCUUCAUUGUCACCCGUUGUCCCCCCGUUGUCACCCACUGUCACCCAGCGUCCCCUCAUUGUCACCCCUUGUCCCUUCAUUGUCACCUGUUGUCACCCAUUGUCACCCCACUGUCACCCCACUGUCACCCAUGGGUGUCCCCUGGGUUGGGAUUUUGGGGUUCCUCGGGGCUCUCUGUCCCCUCUUUGUCACCCGUUGUGUCCCCAAAUGUCCCCAAACGACCCCAAGUGUCCUUAAACGGCCCCAAAUGCCCCCAAAGUAGCCCCAAAUG